rnacentral:rRNA from 1 species
AAUACCAUUAAUUUUCAUGAACCCCUAAUCUAUAAUGAAUGACUCCAUAUUUAUAUGGAAGACACCAUGCUAGGAUUAGUAACAAGAAUUUAUAAUUCUCCAAAAUGCAAAUAUAGACCAACAUGGAUGGACCAUUGGUAGUUACCGAACCUAAAUUCAAUGCAACAACACCUACAAGAAAACUCUGCAGUACUUACUCGUUAACCUAACACCAGCGCAUUACAGGAAAGAUUUAAAAAAAGAGAAGGAAUUCGGCAAAUGACGGCCCCGCCUGUUUACCAAAAACAUCGCCUCUUGACUUAUAAUAAGAGGUCCAGCCUGCCCAGUGAAUUUUAAACGGCCGCGGUAUCCUAACCGCGCGAAGGUAGCAUAAUCACUUGUUCUUUAAAUGGGGACUCGUAUCAACGGCAUCACGAGGGUUUUACUGUCUCCUCUUUUUGAUCAGUGAAAUUGAUCUUCCCGUGAAGAAGCGGGAAUAAAUUUAUAAGACGAGAAGACCCCAUGGAGCUUUAAACCAAAUAACAACUUAACCACUUAUCCCAUAAUAAAUUUAAGCCCUGUUAUAAGGUUUUUGGUUGGGGUGACCGCGGAGUAAAACACAUCCUCCACGACGAAAAAAACAGAAUUUUUAUUUAAGAACCACACUUCUAGAAAUUAGUAUACUAACGUUUACUGACCCGACAAUCGAUCAACGGACCAAGUUACCCUGGGGAUAACAGCGCAAUCUACUUCAAGAGCUCAUAUCGACAAGUAGGCUUACGACCUCGAUGUUGGAUCAGGGUAUCCCGGUGGUGCAGCCGCUACCGAAGGUUCGUUUGUUCAACGAUUAAAACCCUACGUGAUCUGAU